GACGAACGCUGGCGGCGUGCUUAACACAUGCAAGUCGAACGGAAAGGCCCUGCUUUUGUGGGGUGCUCGAGUGGCGAACGGGUGAGUAACACGUGAGUAACCUGCCCUUGACUUUGGGAUAACUUCAGGAAACUGGGGCUAAUACCGGAUAGGAGCUCCUGCUGCAUGGUGGGGGUUGGAAAGUUUCGGCGGUUGGGGAUGGACUCGCGGCUUAUCAGCUUGUUGGUGGGGUAGUGGCUUACCAAGGCUUUGACGGAUAGCCCGCCUGAGAGGGUGACCGGCCACAAUGCGACUGAGAUACGGCCCAGUCGCCUACGGGAGGCAGCAGUGGGGAAUAUGACACAAUGGGGGGACGCCUGAGGCGACGACGCCGCGUGCGGGAUGACGGCCUUCGGGUUGUGAACCGCUGUCGCCUGUGACGAGGCGUGAGUGACGGUAAUGGGUAAAGAAGCACCGGCUAACUACGUG
rnacentral:rRNA from 1 species